rnacentral:rRNA from 1 species
UACGUAGGGGGCAAGCGUUGUCCGGAAUCAUUGGGCGUAAAGCGCGUGUAGGCGGCUUGAUAAGUCUGCUCUGAAAGCCCAGGGCUUAACCCUGGAAUUGCCUUUAAGACUGCAUCGCUAGAAUCGUGGAGAGGUGAGUGGAAUUCCGAGUGUAGAGGUGAAAUUCGUAGAUAUUCGGAAGAACACCAGUGGCGAAGGCGACUCACUGGACACGUAUUGACGCUGAGGUGCGAAAGCGUGGGGAGCAAACAGG